rnacentral:rRNA from 1 species
GACGUAGGGGGCGAGCGUUGUCCGGAUUCAUUGGGCGUAAAGCGCGCGCAGGCGGCCCGGUAAGUCGGAUGUGAAAACCCAGAGGCUCAACCUCUGGCCGUCAUUCGAUACUGCCGGGCUAGAGGCAGGUAGGGGAGAUCGGAAUUCCCGGUGUAGCGGUGAAAUGCGCAGAUAUCGGGAGGAACACCGGUGGCGAAGGCGGAUCUCUGGGCCUGUCCUGACGCUCAGGCGCGAAAGCUGGGGGAGCGAACAGGAUUAGAUACCC